GUGAGGAAUAUUGGUCAAUGGCCGGAAGGCUGAACCAGCCAUGCCGCGUGAAGGUCAGUGCCCUAUGGGCGUUAAACUUCUUUUGUGCGGGAGCAAUAAUGGUCACGUGUGGCCAGACGAGAGUACCGUACGAAUAAGCAUCGGCUAACUCCGUGCCAGCAGCCGCGGUAAUACGGGGGAUGCAAGCGUUAUCCGGAUUUAUUGGGUUUAAAGGGUGCGUAGGCUGUGAGGUAAGUCAGCGGUGAAAUGCCCCCGCUCAACGGGGUGAAGUGCCAUUGAUACUGCCUUGCUGGAAUGCGGAUGCCGUGGGAGGAAUGUGUGGUGUAGCGGUGAAAUGCAUAGAUAUCACACAGAACACCGAUUGCGAAGGCAUCUCACGAAUCCGCGAUUGACGCUGAUGCACGAAAGCGUGGGUAUCAAACAGG
rnacentral:rRNA from 1 species